rfam:Parcubacteria (Falkowbacteria) bacterium GW2011_GWA2_39_24 TT42_C0012, whole genome shotgun sequence.
GCUCCCGUAGUUCAAUGGAUAGAACAGGGCCCUUCUAAGGCCACAAUGAGGGUUCGAUUCCCCCCGGGAGCA